GAUGAACGCUGGCGGCGUGCCUAAUACAUGCAAGUCGAGCGAACAGACGAGGAGCUUGCUCCUCUGACGUUAGCGGCGGACGGGUGAGUAACACGUGGAUAACCUACCUAUAAGACUGGGAUAACUUCGGGAAACCGGAGCUAAUACCGGAUCAUAUAUUGAACCGCAUGGUUCAAUAGUGAAAGACGGUUUUGCUGUCACUUAUAGAUGGAUCCGCGCCGCAUUAGCUAGUUGGUAAGGUAACGGCUUACCAAGGCGGCGAUGCGUAGCCGACCUGAGAGGGUGAUCGGCCACACUGGAACUGAGACACGGUCCAGACUCCUACGGGAGGCAGCAGUAGGGAAUCUUCCGCAAUGGGCGAAAGCCUGACGGAGCAACACCGCGUGAGUGAAGAAGGUCUUCGGAUCGUAAAACUCUGUUAUUAGGAAAGAAAAAAUGUGUAAGUAACUAUGCACGUCUUGACGGUACCUAAACAGAAAGCCACGGCUAACUACGUG
rnacentral:rRNA from 1 species